rnacentral:rRNA from 1 species
UACGGAGGGGGCUAGCGUUGUUCGGAAUUACUGGGCGUAAAGCGCGCGUAGGCGGACCUGCAAGUCGGGGGUGAAAGCCCGAGGCUCAACCUCGGAACUGCCUUCGAUACUGCGGGUCUCGAGUCCGGGAGAGGUGAGUGGAAUUCCGUAGUGUAGAGGUGAAAUUCGUAGAUAUUAGGAAGAACACCAGUGGCGAAGGCGGCUCACUGGACCGGUACUGACGCUGAUGCGCGAAAGCGUGGGGAGCAAACGGGG